CCUACGGGUGGCAGCAGUGAGGAAUAUUGGUCAAUGGGCUUACGCCUGAACCAGCCAAGUCGCGUGAGGGAAGACUGCCCUAUGGGUUGUAAACCUCUUUUGUCAGGGAGCAACGCCGGCUACGUGUAGCCGGACUGAGAGUACCUGAAGAAAAGGCAUCGGCUAACUCCGUGCCAGCAGCGGCGGUAAUACGGAGGAUGCGAGCGUUAUCCGGAUUUAUUGGGUUUAAAGGGUGCGUAGGCGGAAUGCCAAGUCAGCGGUAAAAUCGCGGGGCUCAACCUCGCCCCGCCGUUGAAACUGGCGGUCUUGAGUGGGCGAGAAGUAUGCGGAAUGCGUGGUGUAGCGGUGAAAUGCAUAGAUAUCACGCAGAACUCCGAUUGCGAAGGCAGCAUACCGGCGCCCAACUGACGCUGAAGCACGAAAGCGUGGGUAUCGAACAGGAUUAGAUACCCCGGUAGUC
rnacentral:rRNA from 1 species